rnacentral:misc_RNA from 1 species
GAUGAAGAACGCAGCGAAAUGCGAUAAGUAAUGUGAAUUGCAGAAUUCCGUGAAUCAUCGAAUCUUUGAACGCACAUUGCGCCCGCCAGUAUUCUGGCGGGCAUGCCUGUCCGAGCGUCAUUUCAACCAUCAAGCCCCGGGCUUGUGUUGGGGACCUGCGUCCGACGCAGGCCCUGAAAACCAGUGGCGGGCUCGCUGUCCACACCGAGCGUAGUAACUAACCUCGCUAUGGAGUGGCGCGGGCGCCUGCCGUAAAACCCCCAAUUUCACAAGGUUGACCUCGGAUCAGGUAGGAAUACCCGCUGAACUUAAGCAUAUCAAUAAGCGGAGGA